UAUGGUUGCUGUGUGUUAGUGGAUGAAAUUGUGCAAAAACCCUCUGGCUUGCUUUCCGUGAUUUCAGAUAAGCGACCUCCCUGCUCAUAUUUGAGCCGUUAUGUACUAACCACUCGCAGAUGCUACUGCAUCCUUUCAAGGCUUCCAUUCUUUGAACUGCAUUUUGGUGUAUUAAACAGCAUCUUGACAGAAGAAAGGUUGGAACGGUUAACAAAAGAUGUUGGUGUCUUGGACUUUGAGUUCAUUGAGGGUUCUAUCAAAGAAGAAAUAUUAGGGGACAAUUUAGAUGGUAUAUCACCAAAUUGUAGAGAUGCAGAGGAAAUGCUUGAUGGAACAGCACAAAAUUUCCAAUCAAGCUCAAGAGAUUCUGCACCUGGAGACGACGUUGAUAACGGGAGUCACCUGGAGCAUCAAAUUCUUGAGGGGCAUAUUGACUUGUCAAACAAUGGGAAUGAUGAAAAUGUUGUUGUUCCAGUUGAUUCUGAAAUGGAGAUAGCCUUUGACAAAGGAGAAUCUGGCGGUAGAAACCUUGAAGAUUGUGAAACUGAUGUUGAUGAUUUAUCCAACAAACAAGCGGAAGAAAGACGUUUACCAAAUGCUGUGCUGCCUCUCCUGCGCUAUUAUCAGUAUGAAAGCUCAGAAUCUUCCUCAAGUUUCCAGGGUUCUCCUAGUGAAGAUCGGAACUUUAGGAGUGAUGUUGAUGAUACAGAGACAGAAGAGGCAUCCUUUUCUGGCCAGGAGGAUUCUAAUGAUCACAUGGAUAUUCUUGAAUGGGCANNNNNCAAACAAAUAUGGAUCAUUGCAGAUAAUAUGCGAGUAUUACCAGUUGCAUUGUCCUUCUAGG
rnacentral:misc_RNA from 1 species